AACGAACGCUGGCGGCAUGCCUAACACAUGCAAGUCGAACGAAGUCUUCGGACUUAGUGGCGCACGGGUGCGGAACGCGUGGGAAUCUGCCCUUGGGUACGGAAUAACUCAGAGAAAUUUGUGCUAAUACCGUAUAAUGUCUUCGGACCAAAGAUUUAUCGCCCAAGGAUGAGCCCGCGUAAGAUUAGCUAGUUGGUGGGGUAAAAGCCUACCAAGGCGACGAUCUUUAGCUGGUCUGAGAGGAUGAUCAGCCACACUGGGACUGAGACACGGCCCAGACUCCUACGGGAGGCAGCAGUGGGGAAUAUUGGACAAUGGGCGAAAGCCUGAUCCAGCAAUGCCGCGUGAGUGAUGAAGGCCCUAGGGUUGUAAAGCUCUUUUACCAGGGAUGAUAAUGACAGUACCUGGAGAAUAAGCUCCGGCUAACUCCGUG
rnacentral:rRNA from 1 species